UACAGAGGUCCCGAGCGUUGUUCGGAUUCACUGGGCGUAAAGGGUGCGUAGGUGGUGAGGUAAGUUUGAUGUGAAAUCUCUGGGCUUAACCCAGAAAUGGCAUUGAAUACUAUCUCGCUUGAGAGUCGGAGGGGGGACUGGAAUACUUGGUGUAGCAGUGAAAUGCGUAGAUAUCAAGUGGAACACCAGUGGCGAAGGCGAGUCCCUGGACGACUUCUGACACUGAGGCACGAAAGCUAGGGGAGCAAACAGG
rnacentral:rRNA from 1 species